CAACGAUUUGAUGAUAGCUGCCCUGUUCAAGUGCAUAAUGAACUUACGAAAUAACAUACCUCUUUUGACAGAUUAGAGGAUACAUUCAGUACCAAUAGUGCAGAAAUGCUAACACUGCAAAAAUUACUAGGUGGAUUACCACAUAUGCAAACUAAAUAGUAAUUAUAUUUUAACAUUUUUCUUUAACAUAAAUGAAUAAGCAACUUGGGCUACACCAAAAAAAAAGGAUUCUAGAAAAGGAUAGUUGGAGAUAUGAAAAGGCAUCCAAAAUUACCUAGAUGGCUUUUCCAUGAAAUC
rnacentral:misc_RNA from 1 species